rnacentral:rRNA from 1 species
UGCGCAGGCGGUUAUAUAAGUCAGAUGUGAAAUCCCCGGGCUCAACCUGGGAACUGCAUUUGAGACUGUAUGGCUAGAGUGUGUCAGAGGGGGGUAGAAUUCCACGUGUAGCAGUGAAAUGCGUAGAUAUGUGGCGGAACACCGAUGGCGAAGGCAGCCCCCUGGGCUGAGAUUGACGCUCAGGCACGAAAGCGUGGGGAGCAAACAGGAUUAGAUACCCUGGUAGUCCACGCCCUAAACGAUGAUCACUAGGUGUUGGGGAAGCGAUUUCUCAGUACCGCAGCUAACGCGUGAAGUGAUCCGCCUGGGGAGUACGGUCGCAAGAUUAAA